rnacentral:piRNA from 1 species
UGUGUUGGUAGAGUUUUUACU